UUAGCAGAGAUGCUUUGGUGCCUUCGGGAACUCUGAGACAGGUGCUGCAUGGCUGUCGUCAGCUCGUGUUGUGAAAUGUUGGGUUAAGUCCCGCAACGAGCGCAACCCUUAUCCUUUGUUGCCAGCGAUUCGGUCGGGAACUCAAAGGAGACUGCCAGUGAUAAACUGGAGGAAGGUGGGGAUGACGUCAAGUCAUCAUGGCCCUUACGAGUAGGGCUACACACGUGCUACAAUGGCAUAUACAAAGAGAAGCGACCUCGC
rnacentral:rRNA from 2 species